rnacentral:rRNA from 1 species
UCCCAAGGCUAAAUACUACCUGAUGACCGAUAGUGAAGCAGUACCGUGAGGGAAAGGUGAAAAGAACCCCGGGAGGGGAGUGAAAUAGAACCUGAAACCGUGUGCCUACAACCGCUCAGAGCCCCUUAUGAGGGUGAUGAGGUGCUUUUUGUAGAACGAGCCAACGAGUUACGGUAUGUAGCAAGGUUAAGUACUUAAGGUACGGAGCCGAAGGGAAACCGAGUCUGAAUAGGGCGACUAGUUGCAUGCCGUAGACCCGAAACCGGGUGACCUAUCCAUGGCCAGGUUGAAGCGAGGGUAAAACCUCGUGGAGGACCGAACCACGUUGCUGUUGAAAAAGCAUGGGAUGAGCUGUGGAUAGCGGAGAAAUUCCAAUCGAACCCGGAGAUAGCUGGUUCUCUCCGAAAUAGCUUUAGGGCUAGCGUCGAGUAUGAGUAGUGGAGGUAGAGCACUGAAUGGGCUAGGGGGCAUAGCGCUUACCGAACCUUAUCAAACUCCGAAUGCCACAUACUUUGAGCUCGGCAGUCAGACUACGAAUGAUAAGAUCCGUGGUCAAAAGGGAAACAGCCCAGAUCGUCAGCUAAGGUCCCAAAGUGUAAGUUAAGUGGGAAAGGAUGUGAGAUUUCUAAGACAACUAGGAUGUUGGCUUAGAAGCAGCCAUUCAUUAAAAGAGUGCGUAAUAGCUCACUAGUCGAGAGAUCUUGCGCCGAAAAUGUAACGGGGCUAAACUUACCACCGAAGCUACGGGCUUGAACUUAGUUCAAGCGGUAGGAGAGCGUCGUAACCGGGCUGAAGUCGUACCGUAAGGAGCGGUGGACUGGUUACGAGUGAGAAUGUUGGCAUCAGUAGCGAGAUGUGGGUGAGAAUCCCACAGGCCGAAAACCUAAGGUUUCCUCAGGAAGGUUCGUCCGCUGAGGGUUAGUCGGGACCUAAGCCGAGGCCGAAAGGCGUAGGUGAUGGACAACUGGUUGAUAUUCCAGUACCACUACCAUCGUUAUUAUCGAUGGCGUGACGCAGGAGGAUAGUGUGUGCUAGCUAUUGGAUGCUAGUCUAAGCGUUUAGGCAGUGAGAGUAGGCAAAUCCGCUCUCAUAAUGCUGAGGCGUGAUGGGGAAGGUUCCACGGAACCGAAGUACAUGAUUCCACGCUGCCAAGAAAAGCGUCUAGAGAGAGAAGUAGUGCCCGUACCGCAAACCGACACAGGUAGGUGAGGAGAGAAUCCUAAGGCCGGCGGAAGAAUUACAGUUAAGGAACUCGGCAAAUUGACCCCGUAAGUUCGCGAGAAGGGGUGCCUACGAGAGUAGGCCGCAGAGAAUAGGCCCAAGCAACUGUUUAGCAAAAACACAGGUCUCUGCUAAAGCGUAAGCUGAUGUAUAGGGGCUGACGCCUGCCCGGUGCUGG